CCUACGGGUGGCAGCAGUGGGGGAUAUUGCACAAUGGGGGAAACCCUGAUGCAGCGACGCCGCGUGAGGGAAGAAGUAUUUAGGGAUGUAAAGCCCUAUCAGCAGGGAAGAAAAUGACAGUACCUGACAAAGAAGCACCGGCUAACUACGUGCCAGCAGCCGCGGUAAUAUGUAGGGGGCAAGCGUUAUCCGGAUUUACUGGGCGUAAAGGGAGCGUAGGCGGGUAUGUAAGUCUGGAGUGAAAGCCCGGGGCCCAACCCCGGGACUGCUUUGGAAACUGUGUAACUGGAGUGCAGGAGGGGCAGGCGGAAUGCCUGGUGUAGCGGUGAAAUGCGUAGAUAUCAGGAGGAACACCGGCGGCGAAGGCGGCCUGCUGGACUGAAACUGACGCUGAUGCUCGAAAGCGUGGGGAGCAAACAGGAUUAGAUACCCGUGUAGUC
rnacentral:rRNA from 1 species